GUGUCAUGUUUUGUGUUGAGCCAGGAAUCUCAGGAUUUAUCCCAUUACUAGCAAGGGUUUUAAACAAACUAGUUUUAAACAAACAAGCUAGCUUAAACACACUAGAUUUACAUUUUCGGUAGAGCAACCCAGGUACGACAUGGAGAAUGUAUUUGAAGGGGGCAGGACUAGAAGCAGGCUCUUUCGUAGAGCUCACUCGAGCUGGGAUCUAGGGUAGAGUCGAAGUAAUAGGGGGGAGGGAGGAAAUCAGGAGUAGAAAUUUUUGGAAAAGCAAAUCGGCAAUUUUGUUUAAUUGCUUGCUUUUCCGAAAUAGUAGACAAGAGGCGGAAGUGGAGCCGCCGCCGCCUGAGGAGGGGGCUGGGGAGGGACGCGGUCACCGCGCUGCCGGCUUCGCUCACACGCGUCUCUGCGCCCUGUUGCCCUCCCCCCGGGAACGACCGCGGGUAAAAGUGAGCUGGUACGGCGAGCCAUGGCUGCGGCCUCGGAACAGGGGCACGAACUCUCCAGUGGGGAGGCAAAUCUGCUCUCCGUCGCCUACAAGGACGUGGGGGGCGCCCGCCGCUCGUCGUGGCGCGUCACCCCCAGCACUGAGCAGAAAACCGGGCGGACGGAGGAGCAGCAGCGGCUGGGCAGAGAGCGCCGGCGGAAGACAGAGGCCGAGCGGCAGGUAUCCGCGAUGAUGUCCGGGAGCUGUUGGACAAACAUCUUGUUCCCAGCGCUACACAACCAGAAAGCAAGGUGUUCUGCUUGAAAAGGAAAGGAGAUCAUUUUAGGUAUCUCUCGGAGGUGGCAUCUGGAGGUAGUAAACAAAGCACUGUGUCGAACUCCCAGCAGGCUUCCCAGGAAGCAUUUGAAAUGAGUAAGAAAGAAAUGCAGCCUGCACACCCAGUUCGACGUGGCCUGGCCCUGAAUUUCUCAGUCUCCUGCUAUGAGAUUCUAAAUUCUCCUGAAAAGGCUUGCAGCCUGGCAAAACCGGCCUUUGAUGAAGCAAUUGCUGAAUUGGAUACACUGAAUGCAGAGUCUUACAAAGACAGCACCCUGAUCAUGCAGUUGCUUGGGGACCGUCUCACACUGUGCACGUCGGAAAACCAGGGAGAUGAAAGAGAUGCUGGGGAGGGAGAGAACUAAUGUCUGUUGUGCUUCGUGAUCUGUUCAAUGUCACUCUGUACCCUCCACAUAUAUCCCUUUGUGCGAUUAAAAGAAAAAAAAAAGAGUCGGACGUCGACUUUCAAUUUUUCACAGCCUCAGCCUAGCAAAAUGGUCCAUGGGAUAAACAGCUGGUGUUUGUAUCUAAAACUCAGAUUGGUCACAUAAAUGCCACGGCAUUCUGAAAUUUUGAUUUUGAUUGACAUUGAUAGGAUUACUGUGUGUUGAAUUUUUUUUAAACUGAACACUGUGAUUAUGGGGUUUUGUAACUUAGCAGAACUCUUACUGGUAGAAAAACUAGACCUGAAUUAUGUGUAACUUUUUGGAAAGUUUAAUCUGAUAUCAAACUAGUCACUGAAAUAACAGUUCCACGGUAAAGUUGUACAGAAAGUUAUAGAGAUUAUAUUGGGACGUGGAGUGAGACACCUGUCCUGUGACAUUCAAGUGUGACAGUAACUCACAGUAGUUCUGCCUGUUUUUUGGGGAUUACAGACACUUGGCCAGUUGGGGCUGUUGCCACUCGAAAGUUCAUGACUGCAGAUGUCCACAGUGUCUUCCUCUGAGUAAACUCGAAGCCUGAAAUGGAAACUCUUUGUGGCAGUUAAUUGGAUUUUGACACCAUGAAAAGGUCCAGUGUUCCUAAAACAUGUGACUGACACCCCUUUCCCACAGCCAUCUGACUGAUUUGCAACUUGUGCUCCAGUAGUGGAAUCUGUUUUCCUUGUAACCAGGACCUGAAGAAGAAAAAAGCCGUGUAUCUCAUGAAUGGCCUUCUCUGUUUCCUGGGUAAUACCUUAAGAGUCAUGUUCUGCAGAGAUUGCCUUUCACUUAAGAAGUACUCAGUCUUUGGGUGCUUCCUAGCUUGGGGCUUUUAAAAUUUUGAAAUCAAACAUUCUUCCCACUGUCCUUUUUGACUGACUGUUGACUUUGGUUUUUCUUUUCCCUCCUUAAGUUUCUGUCCUGUUUCCUUACAUUUUUUUCUUUUUGAAUUCUGUCGUUGUCUUCUGUUCUUUGUUUAAUACUGUUUGGGCAGGGCGGGGGCCUGAAGGGGGUGAGCAAAGAUGGCGAGCACUUUGGUCAGCAGACCUCGCUUCAGAGAGUUGAGAAGAGCUUCCAGCACACAGCUCUGGCUUCCUCCGGUUCUCAGCACGCUUGUUGCUCUUCAGUCAGACCGAGAUUGAAUCAAAAAAGUGUUUUUAAAUACCCAUGAUUUCUCCCUGUGUUGCAGCCAGCCCUGAUAACGCUUGUUAGUACCUGUCACCAGGUCUCCCAAGUGUGCUCCUCCAGCCAAGUUCACAGACCUGUUUGAACAAGACCCUAUAAUGCAGGGAAGUUGCAUGAACACCGCAGUGGGGAGAGUCCAGAAUAGCCAGUCCUACCAGUCUCACAGUACCCCCUCUCCCUUGAACAUUCCACGUAGCUGUAGUGUCCACCUGUUUGUCCAUCUGCUGAAAUGAGAAAAGAAACAUUCAUGCACUGAUUUAAAACCAAAAAAAAAGAAAAAAGAAAAAAAUCCCUCCCCCCCUUUCUAGCUGAACAAAAACGUGCAGUUAAACGUGCACUACUGCUUGAAAAUGCAGUAGUGAAUGUGGAACGAGCCUGUCUGUAUAUCUGGUAGCUCUUUCUUGCUUCCGUUUUUCCUUACCAGUAUUCUGCCUCACAUUUGCUUCUGUGACGGUCAAGCACUCCUGUGGUUGUGAAAAUAGUAUAGCCAAAAAAAAAAAAAAAGAAAAAGAAAAAUCCCCAGUUAUUGAUGUACUAGAUUUGUGUAUGUCUUUUAAACAGUUCUAGUUUCCACCUUAACAUGGAAUAAUCAGGAAAAGUGUGAAAAUUCAAAAGUGAAAUAAAAAAUUUUAUCAGUUGCCUGUGGAAAAAAAAAUUGUAGAGAAGACCUACGGAUUUUUGGUUUGGUAACCGUUAACAUAGGAGGAAAAAAAGGGUGGUAGAUGAAGGGAGGAAUAUGGUAAGUAAGCACAUGGCCUUGGGCAUAUUGAAUUUGGGUUGUAUGUGGGAUAUCCAUGUAAGUCUAAUUAAUGCCAUGUUUAAGACGGGGGGGACAGAGACAGAAGAAAAUGAUACUACCAUCAAAGAUUGAACAGUGCCUAAACAUAGGGUUUGAAUUAUUUGAUAAGAUUGAGUUUAGAUGAGUUCAUGAAAAGAUCAAAUUAUAGGUAAAACAUACAACUUUUAUUUUUCAGUGCAUCUGAAUUUUUUGAGCAACUUAAUUGCUCCCACUACUUAGUAAAAACCUUUAGCACCUUGUAAAUAUUCAAGUAAUGGUGACUAUAAUUAUUAUUAGUUAGAAUUUAACAUCACCUUGGCAUUGGGGAAAAUCCCAAGAUUGGGAUGUAAAAAUUCUUGUUUCUUCCAAAAUCAGAGUCCAUAAAACUCCAUGUGUGAACUAUGCAAUUAAAUCAUGUUCUUGUGAUUAAGUGUCUGAUAGAGUGAGAAAGAGAUGAAUAGACAGAGCUGGGUUAAGAAUAGAGGACAUUUCUGAAACAGACGGACUUGGUUGGUUUUGAAGGUCUGGAAAGGCAGGUGGGGACAGAUUGAAAAAGGACUCAUGUGAAGCCAACGAAUAUGGACUUGAUCUUGUAGGCAUCGACUAUUUAAACAUGAGGAGACUUGCUUGAACAGAUAUGAUUUUGAUGAUGGCAUCUGUGUGAAGACACACUGAAGGAUGGAGAGGUUAUAGUCACAGAGCUUAGGGACUAAAGCAGUGGGAAUGGAACAGGAACAUGAUGGAGAAAACCUAGAACCAAUGUUGUCUGACCCAGUGUAGUGGUGGGUGGAAGACAUUUGUGUACAAUACUCUGAGGUUUCUAGCUUGAUGUAAAAUAAUUGCUUCAUGGUGAAUGUUUACUUCACUUUCUUCAAACUUUGCUGUGAAAUGUUUCAUCUAUUUUUUUUUUUACAAGGUAAAGUGUAAAUGAUCGGCACUUUUGAUCUUUGGGUUUCCCAUUACUAGAUAACUAAAGGCAAAUCAUAUCAUUGUUCUCACUGAUUUUCAGAGGGAAUAUUAAUCCUAAACUAAAUAUCAUUCUUCUUAGUAUAAGAUAUUUAUUAUUGCUUUUUUCAUCAUCCUUGUUUCCAUUAACAUCACUGGUCGCCCUUUCGGUUGUAAUGCUUACAUUUAUUAAUAUUUGUUUAAUACAGGUAUAUUUAGAAGUGGCUCUGGGUUAAAGUUAGCCAUAUUGGAACAAAAAGAGUUCAAAAAAACCAUACUCUAUGAAGUGAUUGUCUGGAAAUGCUAUGAGGGUGCAUGAUAUUUUCUUUUAGUCACUGAUUCUUUUUCAUUUUAUAAUCUAGAUUUAGAUCUAGAUGCCAUUGACUUAGUUAGGCUUACAUAGUAGUGUUUCUCAUUGUUUUAAGCCCAGGUGGCGCUAAGAUAUAUACAUUUCAUACAAACAUACAUACACUUCAUAUUGUGAAUUAGGACCCAGUAAUUUCCUUCACCUUCCGGAAUUCCCAAACAGCCUGACAAACAGUCUUGUUCUAAUUUUUAUAUAGCCUUUAAACAGAGUUCCAUUUUAAAUUGGGGUUAAAUGCUCUUCUGGCACAAAUUUUCUUUUGUAAUGCAGAUUUAUUUCCUAGAGCAGCAGUUCUCAAGCUUUUUGGCUCCAGACCUCUUUAUAUGUUUUACAUUUUUGCAGUGUACAUCUUAAAUGUUUGACUGGGUAAUAAACUGGAUUUUCAUAUCUGCUUCUGCAUUCAA